rnacentral:rRNA from 1 species
UACAGAGGGUGCGAGCGUUAAUCGGAAUUACUGGGCGUAAAGGGCUCGUAGGCGGCCAACUAAGUCGGAUGUGAAAUCCCCAGGCUUAACCUGGGAACUGCAUCCGAUACUGGAUGGCUUGAAUCCGGGAGAGGGAUGCGGAAUUCCAGGUGUAGCGGUGAAAUGCGUAGAUAUCUGGAGGAAUACCGGUGGCGAAGGCGGCAUCCUGGACCGGCAUUGACGCUGAUGAGCGAAAGCUAGGGGAGCAAACGGG